rnacentral:tRNA from 1 species
GUAGUUGUGGCUCAGUGGUAAAAUGUCUGUCUUAAAAACCGAGGAAUGAAGGUUCAAGCCCCUGGCCUAGCUACA